GACCUGCCCCCGCCCGGGCGAUGAUCAGCCUCGGCCCGGCCCUCCCCUUCGCCGGGUCUCACGGAGGCAGCGCCAGCUCAGGAAGAGCCUGUGUCUUCUUUCUGGCUCAGUAUCGUCUGCACAGCUGUUUUGACAACUCAGCAAGGCCUGGUGAGCUACAUUCUGGGCACAGAGGAGGGCUCCAAGGAAGAAGCCUAUAAGGAAGUCAUUGGAUCCACAGCUAUUUCAGGGGCAUUUACUUCGAAAGAAACAGCAACGCACAAUGCAAAUGGUUCCUAUUAUAUACUCAUCCAUGCGGUGAGAAUCCGCUAUUAUUAACCAGUACACCUAGUAAGUUCAGCAAAGCAAGAAUUCAGAGCCCAGAACUCUAGCGCAAGAGGAAGUUUAUUUAGCAAGCAAAGCAAAGUACACUCGAAGAGAAGACUCAAGCAGACUGCUUAGAGAGCUGCAUUGGCCUUUUACAAAAAAGCACAUUCUGACCUGGCUGGGAGUUGUACACCCUGGGACCCGGGAUUUAACCUUGAAAUGCUGUCCAUUCUUCUGAUCUGAGAGCUGCCUAUCAUCAUGGAAAGAUGAACAACCUUGUUGCCGAAACAAUGGAGGAGGCACCCAGCCCUUUGCAACCUCCAGCCUCAAUUGCAUGUACUGAGAAUCCAUUUCCUGUAGGAUCCUCUGCUAAAAGUGUCUGGUUACAUAUGAUGUCUAAAGACAUAGUUCCUUUACAAUCCAGUAGAAGAAAUAAGAUUUUUAAAUAUUGUACCAUAACCAAAAAGUGGAAGAAACUGGAAAGCACCAUAGGCGAGGGUCAAACUGAGCAAAUACAAUGGAAGGAAGAUGGCUCCUGACCAGGGAGCUGAGGAAGAUUCCCGGAGGAAGAGACAUUUGCAGUGAGCCGUAAUAGUGGGGACCGUUUAACCAGUUAACUGCCACGAUAUUUUGAAUUUAAUUAAAAAAGGUCCGCCGCUUGUGUCUAUAGACACUUGUGGCGAACAGAUGGUUAAACAUGGAGAAAC